rnacentral:rRNA from 2 species
GGGUUGUGAGGUUAAGCGACUAAGCGUACACGGUGGAUGCCCUGGCAGUCAGAGGCGAUGAAGGACGUGCUAAUCUGCGAAAAGCGUCGGUAAGGUGAUAUGAACCGUUAUAACCGGCGAUGUCCGAAUGGGGAAACCCAGUGCAAUUCGUUGCACUAUCGUUAACUGAAUACAUAGGUUAACGAGGCGAACCGGGGGAACUGAAACAUCUAAGUACCCCGAGGAAAAGAAAUCAACCGAGAUUCCCCCAGUAGCGGCGAGCGAACGGGGAGCAGCCCAGAGUCUGAAUCAGCUUGUGUGUUAGUGGAACGGUCUGGAAAGUCCGACGGUACAGGGUGAUAGUCCCGUACACCAAAAUGCACAGGCUGUGAACUCGAAGAGUAGGGCGGGACACGUGGUAUCCUGUCUGAAUAUGGGGGGACCAUCCUCCAAGGCUAAAUACUCCUGACUGACCGAUAGUGAACCAGUACCGUGAGGGAAAGGCGAAAAGAACCCCGGCGAGGGGAGUGAAAAAGAACCUGAAACCGUGUACGUACAAGCAGUGGGAGCACCUUCGGGUGUGACUGCGUACCUUUUGUAUAAUGGGUCAGCGACUUAUAUUCUGUAGCAAGGUUAACCGUAUAGGGGAGCCGCAGGGAAACCGAGUCUUAACUGGGCGUUAAGUUGCAGGGUAUAGACCCGAAACCCGGUGAUCUAGCCAUGGGCAGGUUGAAGGUUGGGUAACACUAACUGGAGGACCGAACCGACUAAUGUUGAAAAAUUAGCGGAUGACUUGUGGCUGGGGGUGAAAGGCCAAUCAAACCGGGAGAUAGCUGGUUCUCCCCGAAAGCUAUUUAGGUAGCGCCUCGUGAAUUCAUCUUCGGGGGUAGAGCACUGUUUCGGCUAGGGGGUCAUCCCGACUUACCAACCCGAUGCAAACUACGAAUACCGAAGAAUGUUAUCACGGGAGACACACGGCGGGUGCUAACGUCCGUCGUGAAGAGGGAAACAACCCAGACCGCCAGCUAAGGUCCCAAAGUCAUGGUUAAGUGGGAAACGAUGUGGGAAGGCACAGACAGCCAGGAUGUUGGCUUAGAAGCAGCCAUCAUUUAAAGAAAGCGUAAUAGCUCACUGGUCGAGUCGGCCUGCGCGGAAGAUGUAACGGGGCUAAACCAUGCACCGAAGCUGCGGCAGCGACACUAUGUGUUGUUGGGUAGGGGAGCGUUCUGUAAGCCUGCGAAGGUGUGCUGUGAGGCAUGCUGGAGGUAUCAGAAGUGCGAAUGCUGACAUAAGUAACGAUAAAGCGGGUGAAAAGCCCGCUCGCCGGAAGACCA